AUAUCAAUAAGCGGAGGAAAAGAAACUAACAAGGAUUCCCUUAGUAGCGGCGAGCGAAGCGGGAAGAGCUCAAAUUUGAAAGCUGGCGUCCUACGGGCGUCCGCAUUGUAAUCUAUAGAGGCGUUUUCUGUGCUGGACCGUGUCCAAGUCCCUUGGAACAGGGUAUCAAAGAGGGUGACAAUCCCGUCUUUGAGCCGGAGCUAAGCGCGUACGAGGAGUUUUCUAAGAGUCGCGUUGCUUGGGAGUGCAGCGCUAAAUGGGUGGUAAAGUUCAUCUAAAGCUAAAUACUGGCGAGAGACCGAUAGCGCACAAGUA
rnacentral:rRNA from 1 species